ensembl:lincRNA
CCCUUGGUGGCUCUCCCUUCCCAGGUCUCAUAACUGACACACAGAGCUAGCGAAGACCAUGCUUUGUCCUGCCUCUCCGCGGCUCCUGAGCUUAGAGGGCCUUUUCACCCUUUUGCUGAGAGUGCUGCUUUUUAGAGUGAGGGCUUGGCCUGAUAAGAGCUAUCGCCAUGUGCACUGCGCUUUAUUACAGUGUUGGGCUGCAGCACGCUGGCUUGCUGUGUGAAUGAGUGACACGGAUUGCUGUCCACAGAAAACCCUGAACUACGCGAAGAAACACCGCCCACCACAGCCUUGACUUCUAAAAUGCAGUGACCGGGAGGCAAAGCCCUGGAUUCCUGAGGAGGCGUGCUGUGACCUUGUCCUUGUGUCAGUGUGAGCUGCAUGUCAGGGCUCAAAAGGGCUUCUGCAGAUCUUAGCACAAGCCCAGGGGAUCUGGGCCUUGGGACUCGCUGCAGGCAGCAGAGGCUGAGGAGGGACUGGCUUAGCAGGAGAGGUCAGCCUCAGUUUUUAUGGGAGCUCAGUUUCCUGUACCUCUGCUUCAAAUAAGGACCCAGAUUGUAGUUUGCUACAUUAACAAGCUGAGCCGUGAAAGGAUUAGAUCCGCUAAGUGAGUGCUGUUCUGUGCACCCUUGCAAAACACAUUUCGGAAAGCAGUGGAUUCGCGUUAAAUGAGUAUCUGCUGAAGGAGCAAAGCCCUAGGAAAACAAAGGGGCACACCAGGGUAAGCUAAUAAUUCCUGCUGUGCUUUGAGGGCAAUGAAAUGACUGAACCCUGAGAACUUUUUCUCCCUCCCCUGCAGUUGGUAUAAACAUAAGAACCAUUUUGAUGAUCAUAUCGACACCUCAGCAACAAGUACUUCCCAGAGACCAAAAAAAUGUCAUUUUCCAAAGGGUUAAAUGAACCAAAAGGUCUCAACCUCAGAUAUCCUUUUUCUGCACCCGCUUAGGAUGCAUCUAUUAAACAAAACAAUGGGCAUAUAUUCAUAUCCUGUCCGUAAAUAAUCGAAUGAUACAAGAACAAAUCUACCACCAGCUGCUUUGUCCCAUGCUAUGCUUUGGCUGGGAGGGGAAAGCCAAGUUUUGAGCCGGGUCUAGCCUGACUCAGGCCGUAACUUGUGAGUCCUGCUAUUCUAACCCUUUCUCUUGAUCUGCUUUUCAGCCUGUCUCCAGCACACAGCUCAGAGCAGCAGGGAAGUUGCUUAGCAAAGGGCCACCCACUUGCCUAUUAUUCCUUCCUUGCCUGUGACAUGACACAAGAACAAAGUAGACAUUAACCGCUACAUUAAACCCAGAAAGAAAGUAAUCAGUAACCUGUUAUUCCCUUAAUAAAGGGAAACACAUGCAGUGUGAAAUCCAGAAGACUAAUCAAUAGCUGCAGACAAUGCAAUGUGCCAAACAAAUUGCAAAUCAAUUAGAAUCCUUGUUUUCUUUGAAAUGGUUCACUAUAUCUAAAGCAAUUACUCCUUCAUUAGACCUAAUUUAACAGCAUGACUGCCCUGGCUACAACUGGCAGCGUCUGGCUAUCAAAUGGAAGAAUGGCAGCUUAUUUCUGUCUGUCUGUGAGUCUAGCACCAAUCAAAAAUAAAAAUAAAAAUAAAAAAAUAAAAAAAUAAAAAAGGGGAAAAAGGGAGGAGGGAUGGAAUUCCUUUAUAUGGGAGAGACUUUUCAUGAAUGGGUAGAUAUUUGUUUUAAUCAAAAUAUCGAUACCCAAGGAAGGAUUUUUCCUCCAAGGAAAAUUAAAAGAGAAAGCAACUGCAAAACUUAUUUAACAAAAUUUAAUAAGAAUCUGUAAUUUUUAAAAAUGCAUUUCUUUUCUUCUUUCUUUACUAGCUUCAAAUAGACAAAAAUGACUUUGAAUUAUGUGUAAAGUUCCUUUAGCUCUUCAAAUCUAACACACAUCAUUGUACUAGUAUUAGGAUUUUGAACUGAGAAUCCUUUUUUUUUUUUUGGGUAGAAUUUGGAAGUCUUAUAAAUAUUUACGCCAAAGAGUACUAGCUUACUUUAUUUUAAAAGCUAUUUAAGAAUAAGUUUGUUGAGGUAUAAAAUUCACCCAUUUUGAGAGUACACUGGUGAAUUUUGCAAAUGUAUACCAUCAUGUAACCACUGCCUCAUCAAGAUACAGGACCUUUCUAUCAUCCCAGUCAGUUCUCACGUGUCCCUUUGCAGUAGUCCCGUCUCUCCAUCAGUGGCCUCAUGUAACCACGGAUCUGCUUCCUGUCAUCCCAUUUCCCAUCCUGUAUUUGUUUGGGACUGGGAAAACAAUUGAAAUAGUUUUUCUACCAGUUUGGGAAAAAUGGUUUAUCAUUGUUUGAGGAGUCAAGCAACAAUCUCUAGGAACAGAAGGAGAAGAUUACAAACUUUUCAGAAAGUAGAUAUCCUUAGAGUGUAAACCAUUUCUGGAGGUUGAAGUAAGUAUUCUUAAAUGAACUGAAAAAAAAAUCUAAUAGACUAAAUUUGCUAUUAAAUUGCUAAACUUCAUAGUUUAAUCUUUUUUUCCUUCUCUUUGAGGAUCAUUACAGCUCCAAAAAUUGUUCUUUCAGCUUAAUUUUUCUCAAUUAUUUUUUUCUGACCAUAAAAGCAAUGUAUUUUGCUUUUACAAAAUCCCAACAUUACAGAAUUAUCAAAGGUGGGAAGGUCCUUAUAUUCCCCCCAGUAACUUUCAAAAGUACACAAAACUGUGUGUACAAGGAUAUCUUUACAGCAUCGUGGUAUUAGCAAAAUACUGGAAGUUCUAGUAGUUUGAGCCUUAGAUUAAGUCAUACAUGUCCUUGCUUCCCUGCUUCCUUCCUUCGCUUCCCUUAUAACAGCUUUCACUCCCCUCUCCCCUCCCCCUAAUCCUUCCUCUUCACCUCACAUCAAAUGGCUUUUCAGUCUCUGUAUCCUUUGCUUUUCUUCGCCUUCCUUUUUUUUCUUUUUUCUUUAGAGCUCAGUGCAGGAAAAUUCUUGCAUUGGGCCUACCCAUAGCUUCUAUAAGCAAACCAACCCAUUUUGCAUCUCCUACUCCUCAAAAAACAAUAUUCUGCCGAAGCUUUCACAUCUCUAAUGUAAAUUUCUGCUACCCCAUACCGCACCCAUCUUGCCCUCUUUAACCUUUCAUUAACACUGUCACUCAGCCAAAUUAUUUUUUGUUUCUAAUGCUUCUGCUAACACUCAUAAUUUACCCUAGUCAAUCAACCUGCAAGCAUUCACUAAAGGCCUGCUUUGCAGUAUAAUCUGAUUGGCUGGUUCUGAGAGUUGGUUUGUAACUCUAAUGAAAAGCAUUUGUGAUGAUGGGGGUUGGGAGGAGGAAGUUAUGAAGUUAAAUCACCUUCUAAAGAAUUUAGCUUGGUGCUUAGGUUAGGCAGAAGGCAUUGCAAAGAUAAGUGAGAAAGAGCACUUCCCUCCUUUUCAGCUCUCUUUCAAGGGACUUUAAAGUAGAAAAGGGCUUUAGCAUGUACACUGCAGCUGCUCCAGUCCCAGGGCUUACCUCACAAUGGCCUUUGGAAGAUGGUGUAACUAUCUGAAGAGUAUUAUUAUUAUUGUUGUUAUUAUUUAGAUAAAAUAUUCCUUAACCUAUAGCUAUGCACUGUGGGUUUGUGUUUAUAGAGUGUUUGUGUAAAGACACCCAUAUCUCAACUAUUUCUGUGCAUUUCCUCCUAAAGCUUGCCAUAUCUACAUGAGCUCAAGACAAUUUUCAUCAACCAGAGGAUGGACACUUAGGGGUCCCUUGGGGGUUUGCUACAUGGUAGAUAAGGAAGAGAUAAGGCAGGUGGAACUCCAACUAAUAACAUGGUUAUAUAUUAUAAACACAUAAUUAAAUAUUUAAUACAUCAAUGUGAACACUACCAAGGAGAGUGGUGGUAAAUUCUACCUCCCUGAGACAGGGAGAAGACAAGGAUCUUUUGGGUUUCCAAGUAAUUUCCUUAGAAAGAUGAAAAUAAUUUGGAUUAAAAAAAUUCCCACUAGAGAGACUUAACCAGAAAGCUCUUCACUCAUAAUUUUAUAUCCAGCCAUAUUUACUAGUUAAGUCUCUCACUGCUGGCAAUUUUUCAAUUGUUAGCAGUCAUGUAAAUGUUUUUGCAAAGCAAUGGCCUACCACAAUGAACUAUUUGAUGGCUCUGGUCCAUAUACUUCACAUCAUUUAUUACUGCACAUGGUGUGGGGACCUGUGCUUGCUAAUGCACAGAUAAAAGCCAUAACAGAAUGGUGACAGAACAAAUGAAGCCUGUCCUUCGAAGUAAGCCCUGCC